GACGAACGCUGGCGGCGUGCUUAACACAUGCAAGUCGAACGGACAGGCCCUGCUUUUGUGGGGUGCUCGAUUGGCGAACGGGUGUGUAACACGUGAGUAACCUCCCCUUGACUUUGGGAUAACUUCAGGAAACUGGGGCUAAUACCGGAUAUGAGCUCCUGCUGCAUGGUGUGGGUUGGAAAGUUUCGGCGGUUGGGGAUGGACUCGCGGCUUAUCAGCUGUUUGGUGGGGUAGUUGCUUACCAAGGCUUUGACGGGUAGGCGGCCUGAGAGGGUGACCGGCCACAUUGGGACUGAGAUACGGACCAGACUGCUACGGGAGGCAGCAGUGGGGAAUAUUGCACAAUGGGCGGACGCCUGAUGCAGAAACGCCGCGUGCGGGAUGACGGCCUUCGGGUUGUAAACCGCUUUCGCCUGUGACGAAGCGUGAGUGACGGUAAUGGGUAAAGAAGCACCGGCUAACUACGUG
rnacentral:rRNA from 1 species